AGGAACCUUAGUGAAGGGGUCCUCUCUGUGCAGACAAGGAGACUCAGAGCCACAAAAUGAGAAGUAUGUCUGGGGAGCUUGUCAGAAAUGCAGAUUCAUGGGCUCAGAACUCAGCGGUUCUGAUUGUCAUGGAGUUUGGAUAAGGCCCAGGAACCAUCGUUUGUAACAGAUCAAUUAGAGAUAAUUCUGUGUUGACACCUCUAUAUCACCCGGACACAGUGCCAGGAACCUGCAGGGACUAUGAAGACAAGGGCAAUGAUCUAGAGAAGCAGUCUGGGACCCUUGAUGACCUUAUGAGCUGGGCCACCAGCCCACCAUGAACCAGCUGCCUCUCUCUGGAUGGCCACAUAAGAGAAAAGUUAACCCACUGAAUUUUGAAUGUUUCUUUGUUACAGCAGCUUAGCCUCUACCCUAACUAAUACAUUCUUUACUACAGUAAAAUUGUUAAAGUCCUAAAUUCUUUAAGUGUCUUUGUUACAAAUUAUCAGACUCCCCCUUCCCUUCACCCCCAAACUCACCACUCUGUAAGUCUCCUCUGCUCUGGGCAGCACACUCGAGAAUCCUGUUAGAGCUACUUGCAAAGUUUUUGCUCUUUUACAUCCUGGCUGCUAGAGAAGCUUUAUUUCCCUGCAACACCUUAAAAUGUACAUGUAAAACAGUAAAUGGCUUACUACUGAAAACACAGCUUACCCUUGAGAAGUUCCAUUUUUUCAUGCCUUGAUCUCUCUAGGUCGAAGAGUAUGUCUUGGUUAUAGAAAUUCAUGUCAGAGCAGCGAAGUGGCUUCUGUUUAAAGCAGAAUGUUUUCAGGAGUGACAUGUCAACCUGGAGGAUCUUGGGAUCCACUCUUGCCCUUCCUGGCCCCACCUGCAGCUGUUCUGGUUAAACCUUCAGGGAUGUGAGAGGAUUGUUACUUGAUGAGAAGCACCCCACCAAGAUGAGAGGUGGGGGGAUUGCAUAAAGACAUAUUUCCUUUCACGUUAAAAGAGAGAAAAUAAAAGAGCAAGGGAAAUCAUAGUAAUACAAUUUUUUAAAAUCCUUGUUAGGCAGCACUUCAGGCAGGAGAAAGGUGUUGAGAAAUCAAGUAAACAAUGACAGCACGCCAGGACUCCCAAAAGGCUAGGUGUUGCUUGUGGAAGCCGCCUGAGAAACAGAAAGGACACACUCAGGAUAAAAAUGAAAUAAAAAGUGGAUCAUGGUGGUGAGAAGAAAGGAAAUUCCACCUCUGAUCCCCAUCUCACAAAUGCAUAAACUGCUUUAUUGUUUUGCUGAGAAGCUCACAAAAUGCAUAAACCACUUUACUGAAACAAAGACUAAUACCCUUGAUGGCUCCUGCCACCUCUGCCAGCCCUGCUCAGAGGGAUGAGAACCUUCCGUCUGCCCUUGGCCCAUCCAGACCCUCAACCAGUUUGGGUCAAGAUAGCCUGCACAGUCCUGGGCUCCCAACUGGCCAGCCAGUGGAGUCUGGAAGCAAUUCUGCAGCCGUGACAUCUAAUGCAUAUGGGGUGAGUCUCACAUACACCCAUGUCCACCGAGCAGCAGCUUCCCCCAUGACCCUCGCCAAUCUGGCAAGUAGAAAAACAAUGGCUUUGGGCACGGGUUCAAAUCCCAGCUCUGCUACUUCCCAGUUGAAUGAUCUUGGACAAAUUACUUAACGGUUCUCUGUCUGUUUUCUCCCCUGUCAAUUCACAAGGCUAUGUUAAGGAUUAAAGAGAUGGUAGAUAUUAAA